GUCCGGGUGUCCCCACAGGUGGCGGCGGGGUGGCGGCGGACGAGGAGCCGGUCGUGGAGCCACCAGGAACCUUCUUCCUCCGCAACAAGAAGCCCCGGACGCCUGGGUCCCCGGCGGGUCCCGCUGAUGCCACCUUGAGUUACUCGUCGCUGCUCUUCCCUCCUGGACGGUCAUCGGGGACCGGGGCCAGGCUGCGAGGGGACACCGUGGUCUACAGUGUCCUCAAGAGGAGCCAAGGGGAUGCCAAGGUCGCUGAAGGUCCCGACUAUGAGAACGUCCUGCCCGGACAAGGGGAUGGGGACAAGGAUGGGGAGGGGACCCUGCUCUACGCCGCACUGGCCCUGUCCCCCCCAGGGACACCACGGGGACAGCACGGGGACACCAGGGCCGCCGAGGACACCGUGGAGUACGCGGCCCUGCGCCACUGAUGGACACGGGGACA